ACCUGCCCCCCACUCUGGGAUAACUCCGAGAAAUCGGGGCUAAUACCGGAUACGAGCUCCUGCCGCAUGGCGGGUGCUGGAAAGUUUUUCGGUGGGGGAUGGACUCGCGGCCUAUCAGUUUGUUGGUGAGGUAAUGGCUCACCAAGGCGAUGACGGGUAGCCGGCCUGAGAGGGCGACCGGCCACACUGGGACUGAGACACGGCCCAGACUCCUACGGGAGGCAGCAGUGGGGAAUAUUGCACAAUGGGCGAAAGCCUGAUGCAGCGACGCCGCGUGGGGGAUGACGGCCUUCGGGUUGUAAACCUCUUUCAGUAGGGAAGAAGCGAAAGUGACGGUACCUGCAGAAGAAGCGCCGGCUAACUACGUGCCAGCAGCCGCGGUAAUACGUAGGGCGCAAGCGUUGUCCGGAAUUAUUGGGCGUAAAGAGCUUGUAGGUGGCUUGUCGCGUCUGCCGUGAAAACCCGAGGCUCAACCUCGGGCGUGCGGUGGGUACGGGCAGGCUAGAGUGUGGUAGGGGAGACUGGAACUCCUGGUGUAGCGGUGAAAUGCGCAGAUAUCAGGAAGAACACCGAUGGCGAAGGCAGGUCUCUGGGCCAUUACUGACACUGAGAAGCGAAAGCAUGGGGAGCAAACAGGAUUAGAUACCCUGGUAGUCCAUGCCGUAAACGUUGGGCACUAGGUGUGGGGAACAUUCCACGUUUUCCGCGCCGUAGCUAACGCAUUAAGUGCCCCGCCUGGGGAGUACGGCCGCAAGGCUAAAACUCAAAGGAAUUGACGGGGGCCCGC
rnacentral:rRNA from 1 species